rnacentral:misc_RNA from 1 species
UAUGAGGCAAUAGAAUAUUCAGAUAAGUGGAUAAGACUUUUAAUUUCUGUAAAAAAAUUUGAAACUGAAGUAAUAUUUGGAGUCGGCUUUAUAAAGAUAAAUCUACGCCUGGCAAUAUGUUUCACCACGUAGUAUCAUAUAGACGGUCUCUUGUGUUGAUACUGUGUACGAUAUUGUUUUUGGAGACUCAAGCUGAUUCAGAUAUAUGCAAGAUAUGUACUUGCAAUUCACUUACAACAAAUAUAGAUUGUGUACAUCGCAAUUUACCAUCGAUUCCACAACCAAUUCCGACGAAUGUUGAAUAUUUAACUCUGACAUGGAACAGCAUUUCAACCAUCAAAGAAGGUGCAUUCACGGGGCUUUCAAAUUUAAAAGAAUUAUCUCUGUUCAAGAACAAGAUUUCAACCAUCAAAGAAGGUGCAUUUACGGGGCUUUCAAAUUUAAAAGAAUUAAAUCUGGGAAGGAACAACAUUUCAACCAUCAAAGAAGGAGCAUUCACGGGGAUUUCAAAUUUAAACUACUUGUAAGUUCGUUCAAACAAGUUUUCAACCAUCAAAGAAGGUACAUUCACGGGGCUUUCAAAUUUAAAAUACUUAUAUCUUGGUUCCAACAGCAUUCCAACCAUCAAUGAAGGUGCAUUUACGGGGCUUUCAAAUUUAAAACAAUUGUAAGUUCGUU